UAAUACGGAGGGUGCGAGCGUUGUUCGGAAUCACUGGGCGUAAAGCGCGUGUAGGCGGCCCACUAAGUCUGAUGUGAAAGCCCGAGGCUCACCCUCGGAAGUGCAUUGGAAACUGGUGGACUCGAGUCCCGGAGAGGAGAGUGGAAUUCCUGGUGUAGCGGUGAAAUGCGUAGAUAUCAGGAGGAACACCGGUGGCGAAGGCGGCUCUCUGGACGGUGACUGACGCUGAGACGCGAAAGCGUGGGGAGCAAACA
rnacentral:rRNA from 1 species